AACCGGAUUAGAUACCCGGGUAGUCCACGCCGUAAACGAUGGAUGCUAGCUGUGGGGGGUAUCGACCCCUUCCGUAGCGAAGCUAACGCGUUAAGCAUCCCGCCUGUGGAGUACGGCCGCAAGGCUAAAACAUAAAGGAAUUGACGGGGACCCGCACAAGCGGUGGAGCGUGUUCUUUAAUUCGAUGAUAAACGAAAAACCUUACCAGGGUUUGACAUCCCGAGAAUUUUGUCGAAAGACGAGAGUGCUUUAUUGAACUCGGUGACAGCUGUCGCAUGGCCGUCGUCAGCUCGUGUCGUGAGAUGUUUGGUUAAGUCCAUCAACGAGCGCAACCCUUAUAGUUAGUUGAAUUUUUCUAGCUAGACUGCCCCGGUAACGGGGAGGAAGGAGGGGAUGAUGUCAGGUCAGUAUUACGCUUACAUCCUGGGCUAGAAACGCGCUACAAUGGCCGGUACAACGGGCAGCCAAGCCGCAAGGCGGAGCAAAUCCCAACAAAGCCGGUCCCAGUUCGGAUUGGAGGCUGAAACUCGCCUCCAUGAAGUCGGAAUCGCUAGUAAUCGCAAAUCAGCAUGUUGCGGUGAAUACGUUCCCGGGUCUUGUACACACCGCCCGUCAAACCAUGAAAGUGACCAACACCCGAAGUCCGAUUCGUCGGCCUAAGGUGGGGGGCAUGAUUGGGGUUAAGUCGUAACAAGGUAACC
rnacentral:rRNA from 1 species